CAUUUGCCCGGUGGUGGUAUUGUUGUUGGUGGUGUCGUUGCUGGGUCCGCUCUCUCAUCUUGCAGUUCCUCCAUUGAUGUUCCAGAGAUUAACUGUUUGAAAAGGAAGGAAGAGUGUUACUGCGAAGGUCUAAGUAAACAACAACAACAACAACAACAACAACAACAACAACAACAAUAACAACCCACCUGGAGAGAAAGCAAGAGAGACAAAGAAGUUAUCCACAACAUGACGUGCGUGUGUGAAGGUGUCCUGUACGUGGCGAAGGUGGUAUGGGUGCUGGCUUGACCGUGUCCGUGGCUCACCUUUAUAAUGAUGUAGAAAUGAGGGUGAAACAUCUGUGCUAUUCUCAGUGUGUAUGUGUGUAUGUGUGUGUGUGUGUGUGUGUGUGUGUGUGUGUGUAUUCAUCUAUGGGAGUCUAUCGUUCAUUCAACUCAGAUAGACAGACAGACAGACAGACAGACAGACAGGCGGACAGACAGCAGCACCCUACCAAAUACACACGUAAAAUAAGUAAAUAGAUAAAUAAAUUAAUUAAUAAAUAAAUAAAUACAUAAAUAAAUGAUAA